rnacentral:rRNA from 1 species
AUUGAACGCUGGCGGCAUGCCUUACACAUGCAAGUCGAACGGUAACAGGUCUUUCGGGAUGCUGACGAGUGGCGAACGGGUGAGUAAUACAUCGGAACGUGCCUAGUAGUGGGGGAUAACUACUCGAAAGAGUGGCUAAUACCGCAUGAGAUCUAUGGAUGAAAGCAGGGGACCUUCGGGCCUUGUGCUACUAGAGCGGCCGAUGGCAGAUUAGGUAGUUGGUGGGAUAAAAGCUUACCAAGCCUACGAUCUGUAGCUGGUCUGAGAGGACGAUGAGCCACACUGGGGCUGGGACACGGCCCAGACUCCUACGGGAGGCAGCAGUGGGGAAUUUUGGACAAUGGGCGCAAGCCUGAUCCAGCAAUGCCGCGUGCAGGAUGAAGGCCUUCGGGUUGUAAACUGCUUUUGUACGGAACGAAAAGUCUUGGGUUAAUACCCUGGGAUCAUGACGGUACCGUAAGAAUAAGCACCGGCUAACUACGUGCCAGCAGCCGCAGUAA